UACGUAGGGUGCGAGCGUUAAUCGGAAUUACUGGGCGUAAAGCGUGCGCAGGCGGUUUUGUAAGCCAGAUGUGAAAGCCCCGGGCUUAACCUGGGAAUGGCAUUUGGGACUGCAAGGCUUGAGUGCGGCAGAGGAGACUGGAAUUCCUGGUGUAGCAGUGAAAUGCGUAGAUAUCAGGAGGAAUACCGAUGGCGAAGGCAGGUCUCUGGCUGGACACUGACGCUCAUGCACGAAAGCGUGGGGAGCAAACAG
rnacentral:rRNA from 1 species